rnacentral:rRNA from 1 species
GGUUAAGUUAGAAAGGGCGCACGGUGGAUGCCUUGGCACUAGGAGCCGAUGAAGGACGGGACGAACACCGAUAUGCUUCGGGGAGCUGUAAGCAAGCUUUGAUCCGGAGAUUUCCGAAUGGGGAAACCCACCACUCGUAAUGGAGUGGUAUCCAUAUCUGAAUACAUAGGAUAUGAGAAGGCAGACCCGGGGAACUGAAACAUCUAAGUACCCGGAGGAAGAGAAAGCAAAUGCGAUUCCCUGAGUAGCGGCGAGCGAAACGGGAUCAGCCCAAACCAAGAGGCUUGCCUCUUGGGGUUGUAGGACACUCUGUACGGAGUUACAAAGGAACGAGGUAGAUGAAGAGGUCUGGAAAGGCCCGCCAUAGGAGGUAACAGCCCUGUAGUCAAAACUUCGUUCUCUCCUGAGUGGAUCCUGAGUACGGCGGAACACGUGAAAUUCCGUCGGAAUCCGGGAGGACCAUCUCCCAAGGCUAAAUACUCCCUAGUGACCGAUAGUGAACCAGUACCGUGAGGGAAAGGUGAAAAGCACCCCGGAAGGGGAGUGAAAGAGAUCCUGAAACCGUGUGCCUACAAGUAGUCAGAGCCCGUUAACGGGUGAUGGCGUGCCUUUUGUAGAAUGAACCGGCGAGUUACGAUCCCGUGCAAGGUUAAGCAGAAGAUGCGGAGCCGCAGCGAAAGCGAGUCUGAAUAGGGCGAAUUGAGUACGUGGUCGUAGACCCGAAACCAGGUGAUCUACCCAUGUCCAGGGUGAAGUUCAGGUAACACUGAAUGGAGGCCCGAACCCACGCACGUUGAAAAGUGCGGGGAUGAGGUGUGGGUAGGGGUGAAAUGCCAAUCGAACCUGGAGAUAGCUGGUUCUCUCCGAAAUAGCUUUAGGGCUAGCCUCAAGGUAAGAGUCUCGGAGGUAGAGCACUGAUUGGACUAGGGGCCCCUACCGGGUUACCGAAUUCAGUCAAACUCCGAAUGCCGAUGACUUAUCCUUGGGAGUCAGACUGCGAGUGAUAAGAUCCGUAGUCGAAAGGGAAACAGCCCAGACCGCCAGCUAAGGUCCCAAAGUAUACGUUAAGUGGAAAAGGAUGUGGAGUUGCUUAGACAACCAGGAUGUUGGCUUAGAAGCAGCCACCAUUUAAAGAGUGCGUAAUAGCUCACUGGUCGAGUGACUCUGCGCCGAAAAUGUACCGGGGCUAAACGUAUCACCGAAGCUGCGGACUGUUCUUCGAACAGUGGUAGGAGAGCGUUCUAAGGGCUGUGAAGCAAGACCGGAAGGACUUGUGGAGCGCUUAGAAGUGAGAAUGCCGGUAUGAGUAGCGAAAGAGGGGUGAGAAUCCCCUCCACCGAAUGCCUAAGGUUUCCUGAGGAAGGCUCGUCCGCUCAGGGUUAGUCGGGACCUAAGCCGAGGCCGAAAGGCGUAGGCGAUGGAUAACAGGUUGAUAUUCCUGUACCACCUCCUCACCAUUUGAGCAAUGGGGGGACGCAGGAGGAUAGGGUAAGCGCGGUAUUGGAUAUCCGCGUCCAAGCAGUUAGGCUGGGAAAUAGGCAAAUCCGUUUCCCGUGAAGGCUGAGCUGUGAUGGCGAGCGAAUUAUAGUAGCGAAGUUCCUGAUUCCACACUGCCAAGAAAAGCCUCUAGCGAGGUGAGAGGUGCCCGUACCGCAAACCGACACAGGUAGGCGAGGAGAGAAUCCUAAGGUGAUCGAGAGAACUCUCGUUAAGGAACUCGGCAAAAUGACCCCGUAACUUCGGGAGAAGGGGUGCUCUGUUAGGGUGCAAGCCCGAGAGAGCCGCAGUGAAUAGGCCCAGGCGACUGUUUAGCAAAAACACAGGUCUCUGCGAAGCCGUAAGGCGAAGUAUAGGGGCUGACGCCUGCCCGGUGCUGGAAGGUUAAGAGGAGCGCUUAGCGUAAGCGAAGGUGCGAAUUGAAGCCCCAGUAAACGGCGGCCGUAACUAUAACGGUCCUAAGGUAGCGAAAUUCCUUGUCGGGUAAGUUCCGACCCGCACGAAAGGCGCAACGAUCUGGGCACUGUCUCAACGAGAGACUCGGUGAAAUUAUAGUACCUGUGAAGAUGCAGGUUACCCGCGACAGGACGGAAAGACCCCGUGGAGCUUUACUGCAGCCUGAUAUUGAAUGUUGGUACAGCUUGUACAGGAUAGGUAGGAGUCUUGGAAACCGGAGCGCCAGCUUCGGUGGAGGCAUCGGUGGGAUACUACCCUGGCUGUAUUGACCUUCUAACCCGCCGCCCUUAUCGGGCGGGGAGACAGUGUCAGGUGGGCAGUUUGACUGGGGCGGUCGCCUCCUAAAAGGUAACGGAGGCGCCCAAAGGUUCCCUCAGAAUGGUUGGAAAUCAUUCGCAGAGUGUAAAGGCACAAGGGAGCUUGACUGCGAGACCUACAAGUCGAGCAGGGACGAAAGUCGGGCUUAGUGAUCCGGUGGUUCCGCAUGGAAGGGCCAUCGCUCAACGGAUAAAAGCUACCCCGGGGAUAACAGGCUUAUCUCCCCCAAGAGUCCACAUCGACGGGGAGGUUUGGCACCUCGAUGUCGGCUCAUCGCAUCCUGGGGCUGUAGUCGGUCCCAAGGGUUGGGCUGUUCGCCCAUUAAAGCGGUACGCGAGCUGGGUUCAGAACGUCGUGAGACAGUUCGGUCCCUAUCCGUCGCGGGCGCAGGAAAUUUGAGAGGAGCUGUCCUUAGUACGAGAGGACCGGGAUGGACGCACCGCUGGUGUACCAGUUGUUCUGCCAAGGGCAUCGCUGGGUAGCUAUGUGCGGACGGGAUAAGUGCUGAAAGCAUCUAAGCAUGAAGCCCCCCUCAAGAUGAGAUUUCCCAUUCCGCAAGGAAGUAAGAUCCCUGAAAGAUGAUCAGGUUGAUAGGUCUGAGGUGGAAGUGUGGCGACACAUGGAGCUGACAGAUACUAAUCGAUCGAGGACUUAACCAA